rnacentral:rRNA from 1 species
UGCAAGUCGAGCGGUAAGGCCCCUUUCGGGGGUACACGAGCGGCGAACGGGUGAGUAACGCGUGGGUAAUCUACCUAAAAGUGGGGGAUAGCUUCGGGAAACCGGAGGUAAUACCGCAUGUGACCCAACCAACGCGAGUUGGAUGGGUGAAAGAUGGGGAUCUUCGGACCUGUCGCUUUUGGAUGAGCCCGCGUCCGAUUAGCUAGUUGGUGAGGUAAUGGCUUACCAAGGCAUCGAUCGGUAGCCGGCCUGAGAGGGUGAUCGGCCACAUUGGGACUGAGACACGGCCCAGACUCCUACGGGAGGCAGCAGUGGGGAAUUUUGGGCAAUGGGGGAAACCCUGACCCAGCGACGCCGCGUGGAGGAUGAAGGUCUUCGGAUUGUAAACUCCUGUCAGAUGGGAAGAAGGCCCUUGGGUUAAUAACCCAGGUGGUUUGACUGUACCAUCAAAGGAAGCCCCGGCUAACUCCGUGCCAGCAGCCGCGGUAAUACGGAGGGGGCAAGCGUUGUUCGGAAUUACUGGGCGUAAAGCGCACGUAGGCGGCUAGGCAAGUCAAAGGUGAAAGCCCUCGGCUCAACCGAGGAAUUGCCUUUGAAACUGCUUUGCUUGAGUCCGGGAGGGGGGAGCGGAAUUCCCAGUGGAGCGGUGAAAUGCGUANAUACUGGGAGGAACACCGGUGGCGAAGGCGGCUCCCUGGACCGGUACUGACGCUGAGGUGCGAAA